rnacentral:rRNA from 1 species
AGAACGAACGCUGGCGGCAGGCUUAACACAUGCAAGUCGAGCGCCUCGCAAGAGGAGCGGCAGACGGGUGAGUAACACGUGGGAAUCUACCCAUCACUACGGAACAACUCCGGGAAACUGGAGCUAAUACCGUAUACGACCGAGAGGUGAAAGAUUUAUCGGUGAUGGAUGAGCCCGCGUUGGAUUAGCUAGUUGGUGGGGUAAAGGCCUACCAAGGCGACGAUCCAUAGCUGGUCUGAGAGGAUGAUCAGCCACAUUGGGACUGAGACACGGCCCAAACUCCUACGGGAGGCAGCAGUGGGGAAUAUUGGACAAUGGGCGCAAGCCUGAUCCAGCCAUGCCGCGUGAGUGAUGAAGGCCUUAGGGUUGUAAAGCUCUUUCACCGGAGAAGAUAAUGACGGUAUCCGGAGAAGAAGCCCCGGCUAACUUCGCGCCAGCAGCCGC